rnacentral:misc_RNA from 1 species
AACUUUUGGCAAUGGAUCUCUUGGUUCUGGCAUCGAUGAAGAACGCAGCGAAAGGCGAUAAGUAAUGUGAAUUGCAGAAUUCAGUGAAUCAUCGAAUCUUCGAACGCACAUUGCGCCCCUUGGUAUUCCGAGGGGCAUGCCUGUUCGAGCGUCAUUUAAACAAUCAAGCACCGCUUGGUCUUGGUUGCGGUCCUAGGACCCUCCCGUAACUAGUUGGCGGCACCGUCCGGCUCCAAGCGUGGUAGAAAAUUUCGCUUCGGGAGCUCUGGCGUGGCCUGCCAGGUAACUAUUGCCUCUAAAGUUUGACCUCGGACCAGGUAGGGAUACCCGCUGCACUUAAGAAUAUCAAUAAGAGGAGGCU